rnacentral:lncRNA from 1 species
AAGGUAAAAGGAAAUUUGGGGGCAAAAAGCGUGAAUUUAAAGAUAAAAUGGGCCAACAUGCGAAAUAGAAAAGAAGUGGUGCCAAAAAUACCAAGUGUGAAAGAUUUGGGGGCAAAAAUUCAAAGAAAAGAUUUAUAAACAUAAGACUCCAUUUAAAUUUAAAUUUUAUUAGGAUUAUUGUUAGGACUAUUAUUUAGAUUUAAUUUCAGCUUUUAUCUUUAUUUAUCUUUUAAAGUUUAAAUAGGAACAAACUAGAUUUUCUAUGUACUAUAAAUAGGGGAUGGAGUGACACAAAUUUGCACUCAUCUUUUCUAUAAAAACUCAGUCUCCUUAAAGCUCUUAGCUUUGUUCCUUUUACUAUUUAAUAAAAUUUCAUUUGAUUAAACUUAUUUUUUUCUCAAAAAGCAUGAGCCACUAAACUCAUCUAGCCAAAGGUUGUCGAGAUUCCACAAAAAAGGUUCAUGUGGCUUAGAAUCCACACUUAGCCUUCUCAAUGAGUAUUCAUCAUUUCUCUACAUUACGGACUGGCACUUUCAUCCAUGUGCUUCCAAAAGUCACAUUUUCAUCUUCUGCAAAGGUAGCUGCUUUGUAUGUUUUGGGAAUGUUGCAUAGUCGGUUCCUUAGCUUACUGCAUCAGUGGUUGUUGAGCCCAAGAGACAAAAUGGCAUGGCAUUCGCCAUUGAGAAAUGAUGAUCUAAUGUAAGACGAUCCCACAAAAGUGGCGGUUGGUUAGAGUCAGGUCCCUCUAAAUCGUAAGUCUAAAAUCUAAGUGGAGCUAGUGGUUGUAGGUGUCCUCUUCCACUAUAACUACCUUAUUCUGUCAUGAGAAGGAUCACCUAAAAGUCUAGGAUUGAACUUACGGAGGAUCGAGAUAACCGGAGGCUGGAACCCCUCAAAUCGAAGAAUCUCUUCUCUCUAUUCUAUUUAUUUUUAAAAUUUCAAUUUCAAUUUAUACAAUCUCAAUUCAUUCAUAUUUUUAAUUCUGUCUUUUUUAUUUUUUCAGGUACGUCAUUUUUAUAGGGAUAGGUUAUUUUUGGUGCUUCCAACGACACAGCAAUUUUUGGCACCGUUGUCGGAGACUGGUAACGUACUAAUCUUGUUUCUUUCUUUCUUAUGACCAGAUCUACUCUAGGAAUUCUUAUGUUUGAUUCAGAAAUAGAAAAGACUGUGAGAGCUAAUUGCAAGAAAACAAAGCUACAUAAAAAGCAGUCAGAGGUGGUAGGGACUUAGAGUAACCCAUCACCGGAAAUAGAAAUAGGUGACGAAAUAGAGUCUAGGGUUAACGAAAACCCUACUAAAAUAAUAGAAAACGAAAGAAUAGGAGUCGAUCUACCAGAAGAAGUGCUUAAUGCUAGGGUUAACUGUAGAAGGCCCAAUUUGCUCGACCCAAUUUCAACCUAAACCAAACUAACCCUAGCCCAAACAAAAUAAAAAAAAAAGAAAAAAACCUAGCCCUAUGUUCAGCCUUUGUACCUGCUGCCACCACCUAACCCCAUCCCAUCGUCCCAUCACCUGCAAAACAACAAUAGAGAACCAAAACAAAACGCAAACAGUAGCAGACAAAACACAAAGAAACAAAGAAGAAAAAACAAAAAGGGGCAGAAAAGAAGCAAGAGAACAAGGAAAUAGAUAAUAGCAAAUCCAUGGUAUUUUGGCUAUAAAGCCUGAAAUCCCGGAUUUUUUUUGGGUACAAAAACAAGAAUAUUGUAAAAGGGGAAGAUAGAUUUUUUUGGGGAGAAAAAAUAGAAACAAGAAAAGGGAUAAAAAAAGGUGUAAUCUCUUUGAGGAUUUUUCUUUAGAAAAAAAAAAGAGACAGAAUACACACAUACUGAAUAGCAAAAAAGAAAUUAAAAAAGUCAUUGAAAGGUGAUUUCGCCUUUUUUUUCCUCCUUCAUUUUCGAUCUGCUUGUGAUUUUUAAUUAUAGAAAACGAAAAGCGUGUUUUGAAAUAACACCGAUGAAAGCCCACACGUCUCGGAAACAUGGAGAUUCGGGCUAGGAUUGUUUUCUUUACUAUUAUUUUUAUUUUCAUCAAAUUUUGCUUUGUUUUUUGGUAGAAUAACAUAAGAUUCUAAGUUUUUCCUUUAAAAAAACAAAAAAAAGAAGAAAAAAAAAGGAGAAGGAGUGCGCUUACCCGAUCUCCGUGCGCGUGUCCUCUGUUGACAAGGUCCGAUCGCCAUUGGUGCACAGUCGACCAUCAAAUAAAUGAUGGUUUAGGCAGCUGCAUGUUGAAUCAAACACUAGGGGGAGGGAUUAAAGCUUCUGGUUUUAAAAAUAAAAAUGAAAGGUUGCUGAGUUUUGAAAAUGAAA